AAGACCUUGCGCUUUUGGAGCGGCCGAUGUCUGAUUAGCUUGUUGGUAAGGUAAAAGCUUACCAAGGCUUCGAUCAGUAGCUGGUCUGAGAGGACGGCCAGCCACACUGGGACUGAGACACGGCCCAGACUCCUACGGGAGGCAGCAGUGGGGAAUUUUGGACAAUGGGGGCAACCCUGAUCCAGCCAUGCCGCGUGAGUGAAGAAGGCCUUCGGGUUGUAAAGCUCUUUCAGCCGGAACGAAACGGUUACGGUUAAUACCCGUGACUACUGACGGUACCGGAAGAAGAAGCACCGGCUAACUACGUGCCAGCAGCCGCGGUAAUACGUAGGAUGCAAGCGUUAAUCGGAAUUACUGGGCGUAAAGCGUGCGCAGGUGGUUUUGUAAGUCAGAUGUGAAAUCCCCGGGCUUAACCUGGGAACU
rnacentral:rRNA from 1 species